rnacentral:rRNA from 1 species
CUACGGGGGGCUGCAGUGAGGAAUAUUGCACAAUGGGGGAAACCCUGAUGCAGCAACGCCGCGUGGAGGAUGACGCAUUUCGGUGUGUAAACUCCUUUUAUCAGAGAAGAAAAUGACGGUAUCUGAUGAAUAAGCUCCGGCUAACUCCGUGCCAGCAGCCGCGGUAAUACGGAGGGAGCAAGCGUUAUUCGGAAUCACUGGGCGUAAAGGACGCGUAGGCGGGUUUUUAAGUCAGGUGUGAAAUCCUAUGGCUCAACCAUAGAACUGCACUUGAAACUGGGGACCUAGAGUAUGGAAGGGGCAGGUGGAAUUAGUGGUGUAGGGGUAAAAUCCGUAGAUAUCACUAGGAAUACCGAAAGCGAAGGCGACCUGCUGGGACAUUACUGACGCUGAGGCGUGAAAGCGUGGGGAGCAAACAGGAUUAGAUACCCCUGUAGUC